rnacentral:lncRNA from 1 species
CGUAUUGUUAUGCGUUUACUUUUCUACAUUGGUUAGAGGUAUAGGGGGAGGGUUGAGAUCUCACAAACAUGUUUAACCCCGCCGCAUUUUUGCGCCUGUCCCAAGUCAGGAGCCUCUGGCCUUUGUUAGUCUUGUAUUAUUUUAAUUUUUGUUUCUUGUGUACAAUUUGGAAAUUAGUAUGGCGUUCAUUAUCACUGGACUAGUAUAUAUUUGUUUAGGGGCCAGCUGAAGGACGCCUCCGGGUGCGGGAAUUUCUCGCUACAUUGAAGACCUGUUGGUGUCCCUCUGCUGUUGUUUUUAAUUUGGUCGGGUUGUUGUCUCUUUGACACAUUCCCCAUUUCCAUUCUCAAUUUUA